AGGGUUUGAUCAUGGCUCAGGAUGAACGCUGGCGGCGUGCUUAACACAUGCAAGUCGAACGAACCUUCGGGUUAGUGGCGGACGGGUGAGUAACGCGUGAGAAUCUGCCCUCAGGAGGGGGAUAACGGUUGGAAACGACCGCUAAUACCCCAUAUGCCUACUGGUGAAAUGAAUUUCGCCUGAGGAUGAGCUCGCGUCUGAUUAGCUAGUUGGUGAGGUAAUGGCUCACCAAGGCUUCGAUCAGUAGCUGGUCUGAGAGGAUGAUCAGCCACACUGGGACUGAGACACGGCCCAGACUCCUACGGGAGGCAGCAGUGGGGAAUUUUCCGCAAUGGGCGAAAGCCUGACGGAGCAACGCCGCGUGAGGGACGAAGGCCUCUGGGCUGUAAACCUCUUUUCUCAAGGAAGAAGAUAUGACGGUACUUGAGGAAUAAGCCACGGCUAAUUCCGUGCCAGCAGCCGCGGUAAUACGGGAGUGGCAAGCGUUAUCCGGAAUUAUUGGGCGUAAAGCGUCCGCAGGCGGCUUUUCAAGUCUGCUGUUAAAGAGUGGAGCUUAACUCCAUCAUGGCAGUGGAAACUGAAAGGCUUGAGUAUGGUAGGGGCAGAGGGAAUUCCCGGUGUAGCGGUGAAAUGCGUAGAUAUCGGGAAGAACACCAGUGGCGAAGGCGCUCUGCUGGGCCAUUACUGACGCUCAUGGACGAAAGCCAGGGGAGCGAAAGGGAUUAGAUACCCCUGUAGUCCUGGCCGUAAACGAUGAACACUAGGUGUCGGGGGAAUCGACCCCUUCGGUGUCGUAGCUAACGCGUUAAGUGUUCCGCCUGGGGAGUACGCACGCAAGUGUGAAACUCAAAGGAAUUGACGGGGGCCCGCACAAGCGGUGGAGUAUGUGGUUUAAUUCGAUGCAACGCGAAGAACCUUACCAGGGUUUGACAUCCUGCGAACCUCUUAGAAAUUUGAGGGUGCCUUCGGGAAUGCAGUGACAGGUGGUGCAUGGCUGUCGUCAGCUCGUGUCGUGAGAUGUUGGGUUAAGUCCCGCAACGAGCGCAACCCACGUUUUUAGUUGCCAGCAUUUAGUUGGGCACUCUAGAAAGACCGCCGGUGAUAAACCGGAGGAAGGUGUGGAUGACGUCAAGUCAUCAUGCCCCUUACACCCUGGGCUACACACGUACUACAAUGCUACGGACAAAGGGCAGCAAACUCGCGAGAGCUAGCAAAUCCCAUAAACCGUGGCUCAGUUCAGAUCGUAGGCUGCAACUCGCCUACGUGAAGUAGGAAUCGCUAGUAAUCGCAGGUCAGCAUACUGCGGUGAAUACGUUCCCGGGCCUUGUACACACCGCCCGUCACACCAUGGAAGUUGGCCAUGCCCGAAGUCGUUACUCCAACCCUUGUGGAGGAGGACGCCGAAGGUGGGGCUAAUGACUGGGGUGAAGUCAUAACAAGGUAACCG
rnacentral:rRNA from 1 species